CAGCUCCUGGUGGGACAGGAUCCGCUCCUCCAGACCUGGGUUGGGCAGCUGCAGCUUCAUGGUUCCUGGGGAUCUCCUGGUGCAGAAGGUUUGAUGUGCUUACAAUGACUGACUCCCGCAGUCCAAGAACACACGGUUAUGGGAAUCAGCAUCUCCAAACUGCCAUUUGGGCGUGUGCAAGAGUGCAAGGCGGAAGGAUGAACAGGAAUAAACCAACAAUGACCUGUUCCAGCCAUUAGAUGGUGAACAACAGCUUGGGUCCAUGUCUUCUUAUCUUCAAUCCUCAUUCAGCAUGUGAAAAAACACACCACUUCAGACACACUGUGGGAUGAUGUACCUCUUCUCCCCAGUGAUUCAGGCCCAAAAAGCUCCUUAAAUGCCCUAAAAUGGCCACACGUGUCCCAGCUAGGUGAGACCCCCAGCUGAUAUGCAGACACAUCUCCCAGCUCACGUUUAAUCUCCGGACAGACAGCCCCAGAAGGAACCUUGACCUCUCUGGCGUUAGUCUCGCCUGAUACGUAUUAACGUGCGGAGAUCUUACUGAGAAGGAAUGAUUAACAGAUGUGGACGGCACUGAAAAUCAAGGAGUGCUGAGGUACGGCAGAGAGAGUCGGCUCUGAUCCGCAAGCAUCCAAUUAGUCCCAUGAAGUGAUUAAGAGGUGGGAUAGAAAUUUUGGUAACACUUUAAAGCCAUGUUUUUAGUAAUUUAUAAACACAUUCAUAACAAAUAAUAAUGCAUUUAUAAAGCAUUAUAACCAUGGCUAUAAAUAUUUAUCUAAAGGAAUAACACAUUAUAGCUGUUAAGAUCGCGGCGAUCGUGCAGGCAGGAAGCGGCGAGGGACGAGGCCAGCAGGCAGGAUUGCGGGAAACGAGGGUUUAUUCGGGGGAAACAGGGCAGACAGCGACGCACAGAACAUCAAUGACGGACACCCAACUAAGGAAGACGUGGACUAAUAUACAGUACAUGAAACAAGCCGAAAUAACAGGGAACAGGUGAUCACAAUCGGGAAUUAACACGAGGUAACAAGGGGGGCGUGGCACACUGGAGGAGCGAACGAGCAGGUCAUGACAAUAGCCAUGUUUAUUAAGGAUUAUGACUGCCUUAUGAAGGUGUCCUCUAUAAUGCACCAUAGAUGCCUUUAUUAUGUGUUUUGCCUUUUUUAUAAAUAUUUAUAGCCUUGUUUAUAAUGCUUUACAAAUGCAUUAUAAUGCAUUAUGAAUGUGUCUAUAAAUGACUAAAAACAUUGGCUUAAAUAAAGUGUUACUGAAAUUUCCAACCAAGGAAGAAAAUAUUUUAUUGCAUAAUUGGUCUAACAGUCAAACUAAAGUAUAAACAUAAGUUCCCCACACUGUUCAAAUAGGACACGUGCACAUCGACCAGUGCUGAGGCAGUGGGCAAAGUUAAACAAUAUUCUCAGGUAGAUAUAGGGCCCUCUAAGCAGGGUUAGAUGACUGCAUAAUUCAAUGACACCAUCAUCUAAGAUGCUACAGGCUAAAUCUUCCACGACAUCAGGCCAACAUUGGCGCCUUGUGUACCGAGCUCAGGAAGACAAUCUCCCACUAUCAAUCCCGUCAAUCAACUGCGUCAUUGCAUUUCAGCUGUGUUAAUAAACAUUCCUUAGCCUUCACAAGUUUCUAUGCAGGUCACAGUGGGCCGUCGAUGACCUUGAGUUGACCAGAGGUGUGAAGAAUCCUGCUCUCUUCAUUCUUUUUCCAAUAUAACAGUUCUAUCAUGGCAACCUGUUUGGCCUAGAACAGCCUCCGGUAUUCCGAGCUGCAUAUAUCGCCUCAGCAGUUCUGCUUGUGUCUCGUUCCAGAUUACAGAACAGGAUGUGAACCCACAUCCAUGAGGUGUCUGACAUCCGACCGCAAAAGGAUAAGACUCGUGUUUUUUUAGACUGCUCAGAUUUUCCCUCCUGAGAAGAGAUCCGGGAAAAUCCCACGAAAAGCUGAACCGGAGAGUCGCCCUCUGCGAUACUUAAAAGAUCCUCUCUGUAUCUCCAGACAUCUUGAUUUUAGAUUACUGUUGAUUACGUUGUUUCUUCUCCUGAUAUUAAACCAUGUAUCAAUCU